UUUCAAGUUAGCAAAACAUAACUGCUCUGUUGUCAUUCCUCAGUUAAACUUCAAAAAAAGAAUGAUGUGUACAGAAAGAGGAGAAAGUGCAUUUUUCAUCCCUCCUACCAUCUGUAAGCUUCUAAGGGUAUGCAACUUUUUUUGCUGAUCUGAGUUAAUAAGAGCAGAUACACAGAUAAGAGUCAUAAAGAUAGAAGAACUCUGUAGCAUAGAGAAUAUGGAAAUCAGUCUUCAGCUCUUUAACUCUGACAUAUUUUAAGCAAAAAGGAUGAAUAACACUCAUUUCCUGAGCAACUGCCUUUACCAGAAAAGGAGAUACCACCAAUACAUUUCCUCUGAAGGAACCUCUCAAGAUAAAAAAGGAAGGCCUACUCUGCUCUGUGAGUGAAUGGGCAAAAGUGGCAUCAUUUGGAAGAGAAAUCAAAGCCGUAGAAUCUGAAUGGACAGAAGAUCCUCCUGAGUAUAGAGAAUAAAAUUUCUUGCAACUCA